UUAUUUCAUAAUUUUAUUAAAAAAUAAACAGGUCAGAUACAAUACCUACACCAUGACACAAAAUUGCAACAUGUCAGAAGAUCCAUCUGCUAAUAUAAUAUAAAAGCAAAGUAGCCUCUUCACUUGCAAGAGUUGUGCUAUGCGCAAUGUGCAGUUCACUGCGUGACAUUAGUGAAACAUAGAAACAUAGUAUGAGAUGACAGAUAAGAACCAUUCGGCCCAUGUAGUCUGCCCAAUUUUCUAAAUACUUUCAUUAGUCCCUGGCCUUAUCUUAUAGUUAGGAUAGCCUUAUGCCUAUCCCACCCAUGCUUAAACUCCUCACUGUGUUAACCUCUACCACUUCAGCUGGAAGGCUAUUCCAUGCAUCCACUACCCUCUCAGUAAAGUAAUACUUCCGGAUAUUAUUUUUAAACCUUUGCCCCUCUAAUUUAAGACUGUCCUCUUGGUGUGGUAGUUUUUACUGCUAAUACCUCUCCCUAUACAACCAAGCAUUCUGCUAGCAUGUCCUGCUGCUCUAUUACAUUGUCAUACCUUUAAGUCAUCUGAAAUAAUUACCCCUAAAUCCCUUUAGUGCUGUGCAUGGAACACUGCUCUCUCUGUGUGUGCACACUCACAGCACAAACCUUUCAAGUAAAGGAGGCAAACUUGAAUAGUAUGAGGACAAGU